AAAAAUAUCAUGAAAAUUUUUUCAUGAACAAUCAUCAAAUAAGGCCUAAUCUUCCCACUCCUCCAGUUCCCGAUCUCUCUGCAGCUCUCUCUUCUCUCAAAACCCCCAUCUCGCACCCACACCAAACCCUCGACUCCUCUAAAAUCCUUUCCCUAAACCCUCAUUCUCUCCUCCCGAAACCCGGAAAUGACAAUCUCGUCGCUUGCCCCGUCAAUUCUCACCAUCUCAUGCCAACUGAGUCUCUCUUCCUCCACUCCUUUCACUGCCCGUCUCCUCUUGACCUCACUCCCCUCGUUGCUUCUUUGCAUUUCCCAAGUUCCUUCAAGUCAUCUUCCGAAUUACAACACGAGACUCACUUUAUUCAGUCUCUAGAAAACGCCGGCGAUUCUGCUUCUCUUUGGAUGAUUACGUAAAUUUUGGGUCUAAUUUUUUUUAUAAAGAUUGUCCAGGUGUUGUCAACUUCUAUGAGGUUGAUGGUAUAAGGAGGACCUUUCAAUUGCCUAGGGUUUUAUCUGUUGAAUGCGCUAAUUUUGUAGAUUUUGGUGAGAAAGAGGUGAAUUGUUUUGACAUCGAGGGCUUUAGUGUAUUGCCAUCAGAUUUCUGGGCGGAUUAUCUCUAUACAUUUUCUUUUAAUGUUCUCUGCGCCUUUUUGGGGUUGAAAAUGGUUGAUGAGGGCGAUUUGAGGAAAUGGCUAAUAGCUAAUUCUCCACGCUAUGGAGUUAUAAUUGAUGUGUACAUGAGGGAUCAUAUAUCGGUCCUGUUUCGAUUGUGUAUUAAAGCAAUCGUAAGGGAAGCAUUUGGUUUGGUAGAAACAGCCAUGAAAGGUGCUGAAUUAAAAGGGAAAUAACCAGAGAUGAAUUUGAAGUAUAAAAGGUUUAACUGUCCUGUUCUGGUUCAAGUGUUAACAUGGUUUGUCUCUAAACUUUCAGUUUUAUAUGGGAACGUUAAUGGAAAGUUCUUUUCCAUUGAUAUUCUUAGGCAAUGUAUAACAGAAUCUGCAUCACGGUUGUCGUUGUCUCCGUGGGAAAAACAGGUGAUUGACAUUCCUAAAUCAACAGAAGGAUUUGAGAGAUUAAAAAAUAAUGGCAUACAGAUUGAGGAUAUGAAACAGGAAGAGCCACUCGAAAAAGGUGGAAAGUGUGAACUGAAGAAAAGAAUGGAAGGAUCUGUUGUCAAAGGUGUGGUUUUUGUGUCUCAAGUAGCUGCAGCCAUUGCAGCAUUGCACGAAAGGUCCCUUCUUGAAGAAAAGAUCAGGGAAUUGCGGUUUAGUCAACCAGUAACGAGAUACCAGCGAAUGACUGAACAUGAUAUUCUAUCAAUCAGAGCUGAAGAGGAGCGGAAAAACCAUUCCAAUUAUAAGGCUAUCAUUGAGCAUGAUGGGCUCCCGCGAUGACAAACAUCUAACCAGGUUAGGAGAGAUAUAAUAGAGGAGUACAUGGAAGAAAUCAAGCAAGCAGGGAGUAUUGGAUGCUUUGAGAAGGUAGAUGAAGACAGAGGAAUGCUAUCAUCCAAAUCAACAUCUUAUCAUGUAAACACCAUGAAAGUUGAAAAGCUUAGAAGAAGCAAUGUUGACAU